rnacentral:lncRNA from 1 species
CACACCUCUAACAUCCAUGAACAUCAUUACAUAACUAUACUGUACUUUUACAUUACAUCGUUCUACGAUUUGUCAUGUCCACAUUCUAUCUAUUACAAAAACAAGCUUUACUCUAACCGACCUCCUCUUCUAUCCUGUACCUGCAAGCCUGGGGGUAAAAGGGAGAGGGGUGAGCUAAAAGCCCAGUGAGUAGAACUAUAAAACAUAUUAACACUAUGCUCCAAUGAAAUGCAUCAUAACACAGACAAUUCACAUAAGGGUUGGGUGAACUUGUCACCAAUUAGUCCAAGCUAACUCUGUGCCAGGCCGUAGCAUGGGGUCCUGGUCUUCCUGUCAUACAUACAUUACUUACCAUUGUCCCAGGGCCUCCUCUGUGCUCCUGGUCUUCGAGUCCCAUAACCGUGCCAGGCCGUAGAAUGGGGUCCUGGUCUUUCCUUACUCUGUGCCAGGCCGUAGAAUGGGGUCCUGGUCUUCCUGUCAUGGACUAAUUGGGUCAUCCAACAUUCACCCACAUCAACAACAAUCGAUGCAAUGCGGCAUAUUCGUGAAAACUAAUGCAAUCAUCCUUUUGCGUAAUCAUGAUGCAUGAAACAUGAUAAAACAUUAAAUUUCUCAAUUUAAAAGAUUAAGUUUUGUUCCACUCACCUCUGGCUGACUCUGACAACACCGAAGCAGCUGAACUUACUGCUGGGGUCCUCGGUUCCUCGGGUCCGAACCUACACAGGUGGACUCAAAUGAGGGACCAAACAUACUAGAACAUAUCUCUAAACUACUCCCCAAAAACCCCCUAAAACAUCAUGAAACAACCAUAGAAAAACAUGUAAAGGAGGCCUGGACAGGGCACUUUCGGCGGCAGGUUCGGCGGCCGAAAGUCCCUUCAGAGCCGAAAGUCAGGCAGGUUUGGCGGCACCUUCGGCGGCCGAAACUCCCAGACAGAGACGAAACUCAUGCAUCUUCGGCGGCACUUUCGGCGGCCGAAACUGCCAGACAGAGACGAAAGUCUCCUUUCGGGGGCAAGCUUCGGCAGCCGAAAGGCUGCCUCCCCAGCCAUGUUCGGCGGCCGAGAAUCCUUCGGCUGCCGAACCUGGUUUCUACCAAAGGGCAAAAACUUGGCUCCCUUUGCACAUUUCGCCUCCAAACUUAUGAAACAUGCAUCAAACCUAUUCUACAACACACAAACACAAGCAUACAUGUUCCUAGGGGCCUCAAACCAACAUAAACCCCAUCUACAACACAUCAAGAAACUCACAUUGUUCAUGAACAAACAUUUAUACCCAUAAACAUAACCAUAACCUAAACAUGCAUUCUACCCCAUAUAUCUACUUAAAACUUAUUUUAAACGUGCAAUGAGCUUAAGAUCGGCUCUUACCUCUUGAAGAUCGAGAGAGAGACGACCUAAACUCGAAGUUGGGAGAGCUUGAGUUCUUGAACCUCCAAGCUCCAAAACUUUGCUCAAAUGCUCAAAUCUUCAUAAUAAAGUUAAAACAAAUGAAAAUCUUGAAAGAUCUAGAGGAAAGACGCCAAAGAUGGGUGAGGGGCAGCGGAGACUCACCUUGGCCGAAAAUGGGGAAAAAGCUCGCCCGUUUUCGGCUAAGGGACCCUUUUAUAGUGGCUGGCCAGACCACGUUCGGGGGCCGAAUGUGCCUCCGCAUGCAUGCCAUGUUCGGCGGCCGAACUUGAGGUUCGGCGGCCGAACCUAGACUUCCCUCACUUAUGCUUUCGGGGGCCUAAAGCACACCCGCAACGCAUGCAUGUUCGGCGGCCGAACUUGAGGUUCGGCGGCCGAACCUGAGUUUUCCUCCAAUGCUAUUUUCAUGCAAAAACUCAUUUUCUUUCAUGCUUAAAACAUAAAACAGAUUAAAACAUUUUAUAAAAACAUGGUUUUACCCUACUAGAGGCUUCCGACACCCGAGAUUCCACCGGACGGUAGGAAUUCCGAUACCGGAGUCUAGCCGGGUAUUACAUUCUCCCCCCCUUAAGAACAUUCGUCCCCGAAUGUUCCUCAACUAGCACAUGCAUAGAAUCAUCACAACAUACACAUAAAACACAUAGAGACUAACCUUAAAAGAGAUGAGGAUAUUGCCGGAGCAUGGACUCCCGUGUCUCCCAAGUGCAUUCUUCCAGAUUGUGGUGGUUCCAAAGGACUUUCACCAUCGGGAUUU